rnacentral:lncRNA from 1 species
CCCACUGGACCCGUCAUUCACUGGUCCAGCUCCUAUUCUCCUAGGCGUGUGAGUUGUCGGACCAGGGUGAGGCCUCUGUCCCUCUGGUUUCUUCACAAAAUUUUUGAGGUGCCCUCUUUUUAUCAGCCUCUCAAUCUCCGCGAUUAACUGAAAACAGUUGUUCGUAUCGUGCCCAUGGCUCCGGUGGUACUGACAAUACUUGUCAGGAUUUCUUUGAUCUGCUUCCGACUUCAUGGGUUUGGGCCACUGGAG